rnacentral:rRNA from 1 species
UACGAAGGGGGCUAGCGUUGUUCGGAAUUACUGGGCGUAAAGCGUGCGCAGGCGGCCUUCCAAGUCAGGGGUGAAAGCCCAGAGCUCAACUCUGGAAUUGCCUUUGAGACUGUGAGGCUUGAGUACGGGAGAGGUGAGUGGAAUUCCCAGUGUAGAGGUGAAAUUCGUAGAUAUUGGGAAGAACACCGGUGGCGAAGGCGACUUACUGGACACAUAUUGACGCUGAGGUGCGAAAGCGUGGGGAGCAAACAGG